ensembl:lncRNA KLF3-AS1 KLF3 antisense RNA 1
GCCACACGCGGAGAGCACGGAGAUUUCUGGGGCUUUGGAGGGAAUCGUGAGCGGGCGGGAGGAGGCCGGGGACCACACAGAGAAUAACUUGUCUGACUACCAGUAUUCUUGGAUGCAGAAGUGCUGAAGAUGAGCACACACACGUACGGAGAAUUUCUGGAGAAUUCAGCUGCUCAGAACAAGAACUGAGAUCCAGAGAGAUGAUGACUUUGCCCAUAGACCAAACAAAGAAAUACAUGUUUCAGUCCUGUGUCCUCCUGCUAUGUGUGUCCGGAAUUGGUGGGUUCUUGGUCUCACUGACUUCAAGAAUGAAGCUGCGGACCCUCGCGGACCGUGUGUGAAUGCCUGCUCUGUGAGCCCUCAGAAUCUACUGGCUGAAUGAGUGCGUGGAGGAAAUGUGCUCAGAGCUGCUGUGUGUCAUCCUGUGUUUGAAGUGCUCCUGCAGCUAUCAUUCAUCCAGUUAAGAAUUUGAAGAAGUGUGUGCACAAAGGAUGUACCAGACUAUUAAUAUUGGUGACCAUGGGCUAGGGACUCACAGGAUAUCGGCCAUGUUAAUGAGUCUGAUGUUGCUAGUAUCACAGGCACCGGAAAAUAUGCACAUUAUGCUGGAGCAUUAGAAUGCAACAGAAAGAGCCCUGGGCUUGGAGUAUGCAGAACUGGUUCUUGUUACAACUCCUCUUACUAGUGGGCUCUGGAAGAAAACACAUUGAAUUCAUGAUCAUGGUUAACCUUUGGAGAGAGAGAGGAGACCAGGAUGAAGGAGCCAGUCGAAGAUCCUGUUCAAGUGUACACUGAGCCAGCAGGUUCACCAGAAAGCUAUUGAGCGUUUGCUGGAACACAUUAUGCAGGGUGAAUUUCUUCUGGAAUGUUGCCAAGGAUUUUUUAUGCUUCUGUGGCAGGCAUUUCUUGAACAUUGUCAUUUAGCCAAGCAAAGAAGAUUUUCUUAAAGGAUAGAAAAUGUUUAAAAAUUUUUGUUUGUUUGAAGAUAGGUUAAAUGGCUAUAUGAUCUCAGGAUAAGACAGAGAAAAUCACUUAUUUCUCUAAGUGAUCUGAUUAGGUUAGUGAUGUUUUGCCUUUAAACAGAUUCAUCAUUAUUCCUAAAGUAUUGCUGUAUUAAUACUGUCUUCUAGAAAGUAUCCACCAGUGCCUACUUUUCUUCGAUAUCAUUAGCUGUUUUUCGAAACUGAAUUUGCUCUUCAGAGAUUUCUCAUAUGUUUGCGUAUAAGGAACUACUGGUAAUAGCCAAGAAAAUUUGGAGGUGCAGAGAACAUGCUGAAACAGAAUUUUUCACUUUCA